rnacentral:rRNA from 1 species
UACAGAGGGUGCGAGCGUUAAUCGGAAUUACUGGGCGUAAAGCGCGCGUAGGCGGCUUUGCAAGUCGGGUGUGAAAUCCCCAGGCUUAACCUGGGAACUGCAUUCGAGACUGCAUUGCUAGAGUAUGGGAGAGGGAAGUGGAAUUUCCGGUGUAGCGGUGAAAUGCGUAGAUAUCGGAAGGAACAUCAGUGGCGAAGGCAAUCCCCUGGGCCUGCACUGACGCUCAUGCACGAAAGCGUGGGGAGCAAACAGG